rnacentral:lncRNA from 1 species
CACCAAAAACCUAUAAAAAUGAAAAGGCCAAGAGCUAUAACUCAGGUAAGGGAGAAAGAAAACCCAGAAAAACAGCUAGGUGAUCUGGAGAUUAUCAGCCUCAAGGAAAAAGACUUUAGACUGAUGAUGCUGAAGAUGAUGUAAGACACUGGAAAUAAACUGGAGGCAAAGAUGGGUAACUUACAGGAAACACUGAGCAAAGAGAUAGAAGAUACAAAACUUAAGUAAGGAGAGAUGCAAAAUACAGUAACUGAAAUAAAAAAUUCAUUAGAAGCAGCCAACAGCAGAAUAUAGGAGGCAGAAUGAAUAAGUGAGGUGGAGGACAGACUAGUGGAAAUCACGGAUGCAGAACAGAAAAGAAAAAAAGAUUGAAAACAAAUGAAGACAGUCUCAGAGAACUCUGGGACAACGUUAAACACACCAACAUCCAUAUUAUAGCGGUGCCAGAAGGAGGAGAGAGAGAGAAGGGGACAGAAAAAAUAUUCAAAGAGAUAAUAGUCGAAAAUUUCUCUAACAUGGGAAAGGAACCACUCACUCAAAUCCAGGAAGCACAACGAGUACCAUAUAAUAUAAACCCAAGGAGGAGCACCCCGAGACACGUAUUAAUCAAACUNNNNNNNNNNNNNNNNNNNNNNNNNNNNNNNNNNNNNNNNNNNNNNNNNNNNNNNNNNNNNNNNNNNNNNNNNNNNNNNNNNNNNNNNNUCAUAUAUAUAUAUAUAUAUACACACACACACUCCUACAUCAAAACUUCAGGGAAACUGCAAACCAAACCUACAACUGAUACACAAAUACGAAAGAUUAACUCAAAUACAACACUAAAGACAGUCAUCAAACCACAAGAGGAAAGAACAAGAAGGGAAGAAAAAAGAGCAACAAAACCAAAUCUGAAACAGUUGAUAAAAUGGCAAGAAGAACAUACACAUCAAGAAUUACUUUGCACUGCAAAUGGACUAAAUGGCCCAACCAAAAGACAUAGACAGGCUGAAUGGAUACAAAAACAAGAUUCAUAUACAUGCUGUCUUCAAGAGACACAUUUCACUUCUGGGGACACAUACGAAUUGAAAGAGGAUGGAAGAAAAUAUUCCAUGCAAACAGGAAUCAAAAGAAAGCUGCAGUAGCAAUACUCAUAUCAGAUAAAACAGACCUUAAAAUGAAGAAUAUUUUAAGAGCCAUGGAAGGACAUUACAUAAUGAUAAAGAAUCAAUCGAAGAAGAAGAUAUAACAAUUUUAAAUAUCUAUGCACCCAACAUAGUUGCACAAUAUAUAAGGCAACUGCUAACAACCCUAAAAGGAUAAAGUGACAAUAACACAGCAAUAGUGGGGGACUUUGACUCCCCACUUACAGCAAUGGACAGAUCAUCCAGACAGAAAAUCAACAAAGAAACACGGGCCUAAAUCAAGCACUAGACCAGAUGGACCUAAUAGAUAUUUAUAGAACAUUCCAUCCAAAAGCAGCAGAAUACCGAUUCUUCUGAAGUGCACACGGACCAUCUCUAGGACUGAUCACAUUCUGGGCCACAAAUCAAGUCUUGGCAACUUUAAGAAAACAAAUCAUAUCAAGCAUCUUUUCUGACCACAACACUAUAGAAGAUAUCAACAACAAAAACUGCAAAAACCAUAAACACAUGGAAACUAAACAGCAUGCUACUAAACAACCAAUGGAUCACUAAAGAAAUCAAAGAGGAAAUUAAAAAAAAAUACAUAGAAGCAAAUGACAACAAAGAUACAACACUCCAAAACCUAUGCAAUGUAGCAAAAGCAGUUCCAAGAGGGACAUUUAUAGCAAUAUGAGCCUACCUCAGGAAAUAAGGAAAAACUCAAAUAAACAAUCUAACUUUACAUCUAAAGCAGCUAGAGAGACAAGACCUAAAGUUAGCAGAAGGAAAGAAAUUAUAAAGAUUGGAACAGAAAUAAAUGAAAUAGAAAUGAAGAAAACCAUAGAAGAUACCAAUGAAACUAAAGGCUGGUUCUUUGAAAAGAUCAACAAAGUUGAUAAACCCUUAGCCAGACUUACCAAGAAAAAAAGAGAGGACUCAAAUCAAUAAAAUUAGGAAUGAAAAAGAAGUUACAAGGACAUCACAGAAAUAAAAAGGAUCAUAAGAGACUACUAUAUGCAACUACUUGCCAGUAAAACAGAAAACCUAGAAGAAAUGGACAAAUUCUUAGAAAAGCACAAUCUUCCAAGACUAAACCAAGAUGAAAUAGAAAAGAUGAAUGGACCAAUCACAAGAACUGAAAUUGAAACUGUGAUUUAAAAACCUCUAACAAACAAAAGUGCAGGCCCAGAUUUCCAUCAAACAUUCAGAGAAGAGUUAACAUCCAUCCUUCUGAAACUAUUCCAAGAAACUGCAGAGGAAGGAAUACUCUCAAACUCAUUCCACGAGGCCACCAUCACCCAAUCAAAGAUAACCACAAAAAAAAAAAAUUAUGGGCUGAUAUCACUGAUGAACAUAGAUGCAAAAAUCCUCAACAAUAUAAUAGCAAACCGAAUGCAACAACACAUUAAAAGGACUGUACAUCAGGAUCAAGUGGGAUUUAUCCCAGGGAUGCAAAGAUUCUUCAGUAUUUGCAAAUCAAUCAUUGUGAUACACCACAUUAACAACUGAAGACUAGAAACUAUAAGAUCCUCUCAACAGAUGCAGAAAAAGCCUUUGACAAAAUCCAACACCCCUUUCUGAUAAGAACCCUUUAGAAAGUGGGCAUAGAAGGAACCUACCUCAGCAUAACAAAAGCCAUAUAUGACAAACCCACAGCUAACAUAAUUCUCAAUGGUGAAAAGCUGAAAGAGUUCCCGAUGAGAAUAGGAACAAGACAGUGAUGCCCGCUCUUUCCUCUACCAUUCAGCAUAGUUUUGGAAGUCCUGGCCACGGCAAUCAGAAAAAAAAAAAAAAAAAGGAAAGAAAAGGAAUCGAAACUGGAAAGGAAGAAGUAAAACUAUCACUACUUGCAGAUGACAUGAUACUAUACCUAGAAAAUCCAAAGACGCUAGAGAAAACUGUUACAGCUCAUCAAUGAAUUUAGCAAAGCCGCAGGAUACAAAAUUAAUACACAGAAAUCAACUGCAUUCUAUAAACUAACAAUGAGAGGUCAGUUAGGGAAACAAUCCCACUUACUCUCACAUCAAAAAGAAUAAAAUACUUAGGAAUAAACCUACAUAAAGAGUCAAAAGACCUAUACUCUGAAAACUGUAAGAUGCUGAUGAAAGAAAUCAAAGAUGACACAAACAGAUGGAAAGACAUACAUACCAUGCUCUUGGAUUGGAAGAGUCAAUAUUAUCAAAAUGACUAUACUACCUAAGGCAAUCUACAGAUUCAGUGCAAUCCCUAUCAUAGUAAAAAGGACAUUUUUCACAGAACUAGAACAGAAUAUCCCAAAGUUUGUCUGGAAGCACAAAAGACCCAGAAUAGCCAAAGCCAUCCUGAGAUAGAAAAAUGGAGCUGGAGGAAUCAGGCUCCCUGACUUCAGACUAUACUACAAAGCUCAGUCAUCAAAACGGUAUGCUACUGGCACAAAGACAGAUAUACAGAUCAGUCGAACAGGAUAGAAAGCCCAGAAUUAAACCCAUGCACCUACAGUGAACUAAUCUAUGACAAAGGAGGCAAGAAUAUACAAUGGAGAAAAGACAGCCCCUUCAAUAAGUGGUGCUGGGAAAACUGGACAGUCACAUGGAAAAGAAUGAAAUUAGAACACUUCCUAACACCAUACACAAAAAUGAAAUGGAUUAAAGACCUAAAUCUAAGACCAGAUACCAUAAAACUCUUAAAGGAAAACAUAGGCCAAACAUUCUCUGACAUAAACCAUAGCAAUGUCUUCUCUGAUCCACCUCCUAGAAUAAUGACAAUAAAAACAAAAAUAAAUGGGACCUAAUUAAACCUAAAAGUUUCUGAACAGCAAAUGAAACCCUAAACAAAACGAAAAGACAACCCACAGAAUAGGAGAAAAUCUUUGCAAAUGAAGUGACUGACAAGGGCUUAAUAUCCAAAAUUUAUAAACACCUUCUGCAGCUUAAUAUCCAAAAAUAAACAAUCCCAUCAAAAAAUGGGCAGAAGAUCUAAACAGACAGUUCACCAAAGAAGACCUACAGAUGGCCAAAAAACACAUGAAAAGAUGUUCAACAUCACUCAUUAUUAGAGAAAUGCAAAUCAAAACCACUAUGAGGUAAUACCUACACCGGCCAGAAUGGCCAUCCUCAAAAAGUCUACAAACAAUAAAUGCUGGAGAGGGUGUGGAGAAAAGGGAACCCUAUUACACUGCUGAUGGGAUUGUAAAUUGGUGCAACCACUGUGGAAGACAGUAUGGAGAUUGCUCAGAAAACUAAAAACAGAACUACCAUUUGAUCCAGCAAUCCCACUCCUGGGCAUCUAUCCAGAGAAAACCAUGACUUGCAAAGACACAUGUACUCCAGUGUUUACUGCAGUACUAUAUUCAAUAGCCAAGACAUGGAAACAACCUAAAUGUCCAUCAGCAGAGGAGUGGAUCAAGAAGAUGUGGUACAUACACACAAUGGAAUAUUAGCCAUUAAAAGGAAAGAAAUAAGGGCAUUUGCAGCAACAGGGAUGGACCUAGAAAUUAUCAUGCUAAGUGAAGUCAGUCAGAUAGUGAGACAUCAACAUCAAAUGCUAUCACUUACAUGUGGAAUCUAAAAAAAGAACACAAUGAACUUCUUUGCAGAACAGAUAUUGACUCAGUCUUUAAAAAACUUAUGGUUUCCAAAGGAGACAGGUUGUGGGGCAAGGGAUAGGCUGAGUUUGGGAUGGAAGUGCUAUAAAAUUGGGUUGUGAUGAUUGCUGUACAACUAUAAAUGUAAUAAAAUUCACUGAAUAAUUUAAAAAAUAAAAUAAAAAUAUCUG